rnacentral:rRNA from 1 species
GGUGACCACCUGGGAAGUCCUCGUGUUGCACCUUUU